rnacentral:snRNA from 1 species
AUACUUACCUGGCAGGGGAGAUACCAUGAUCACGAGGGUGGUUUUCCCAGGGCGAGGCUUAUCCAUUGCACUCAGGAUGUGCUGACCCCUGCGAUUUCCCCAAAUGCGGGAAACUCGACUGCUUAAAAAAAAUGUUUUGAAUAUCUUUUGA